AUUUUCCGGGAUAAAAUAGUUGCCUAUGUCCUUCCCCGGGAUGCAAGCUAUCAAUGUACCACGUCAAAAUCGAUUCUACGGAUGGAUCGUGUAAAGCUA